GACGGACCAUCCAAACGUUAUUCGGAAUUACUGGGCUUAAAGGGUGCGUAGGCGGCGCGGAAAGUUGGGUGUGAAAUCCCUUGGCUUAACCAAGGAAUGGCGCUCAAAACUACCGUGCUCGAGGAAGACAGAGGUGAGCGGAACUUAGGGUGGAGCGGUGAAAUGCGUUGAUAUCCUAAGGAACACCGGUGGCGAAAGCGGCUCACUGGGUCUUUUCUGACGCUGAGGCACGAAAGCCAGGGGAGCGAACGGG
rnacentral:rRNA from 1 species